UUAAACUUGUUAGGGAGAGAUUUCUUGUUAUUUUAAAUGAAUGAUAUGCAUGAUGACUUAUGCAAUGGUCUUUAGGUUCAACAGGUACCCCAAGUUUAGGCCUGGUGUGGUGAACACCGAGAGAAAUUUUCUUAGUUACAAGGCUUCUGGUUGACAGGUUAAAGGAUGUGUCUGACGUGACUUCCUGAUGUUCCGGCCUCUUG
rnacentral:lncRNA from 1 species